AAAUUAAUUAAUAAAAAAUUUACAAGAAAUGAGGAGUACUCAACAGCAAUAACAUGAUGAAACAAAAAAAAGCAAGCAGAAAUGGGUAAUCCCCAAAAACAAGAAGAAUUCAAAAGAGUAAGAAACGGAGAAGAAAAUACAAUAGAGAAGAGGAAAGGUCAAUCGGAGUGAGAGGGAUCGUCGUCGUCGUCGUCGCUGGAAUCGGAGAGAGGGUGAUCGGGAGGAUUAAAGCAGAGGUAGAGCCAUAAAGAGUCAGCAAGGCGGCCAAAAUGAUGGCAAGGAAGGCAAAAGAUGAGGUGCAACACCUGAUCGCUGCUUAACCGCUCUGGGUUACAGGCGAUGUAUUGGCAUAGAUUUGCUGAUAUAUUGGCUAUUGCCACCACCAUCGAGCUGUUUAACACCAUCGCUUCCCUCUCCUCUGUAUUUCCUCCUGUCUUGCCCUUUUGCUCGUUUCUCUUCUCUUAUAUUAGUAUGUUAUAUAGUUUUGUUGUUUUUUUGGUCUGACCAUAGGAGAAACGAUGUCGUUUAUUCUUGAAUCCUCCUAGUUCUAACAGGUCAAAGAUAUUUAAUGUAUGGUUUAUGAAAUUCUUCUGGGAUUUUGUUACUUUCAUUUAAUAUCUUUUAUCCAAUUAAUAUUCCAAUAUUAGGAUUUGAGAUUACUAAAAUAACUUUGAUUUUUCUAAUUCAAUUUAGUAUCUAUUGUUUGAAACCCUUGACAACUUCUCACGCUACCAUUUCUUUUCCGCCUAAUUAAAAUUUAAAUAAAAACAAAAUUAUCAAAACCUUUCUUUACCUAAUCCAACAACUAAUCAAAACUCUCUCUUUUUUCUUUCCCCCUCGUCAUCUUCUCCCCAGCCCCUGCUCCUCACUUCCUGCCCAGUUCCAGCCGCACCAAAGAACCACUGUUGCUUGUUCGCAUACCCCACCACCGGCCUUGACCGACCCACUAGCCCAACCCCGCCACCGCCGAAUGGUGAAUACCCUAUGAACUUGUGUACUUGCCACCAAUGGACAAUUAGGCGGAUUCCUCUCGGUGCAUGUAUGCAUGCAAGUGUCCAAUCUUAUUUGGCACUUAUGCUGUUGUCCCUAUACUUUUGCUUCUAACCAUUCUUGUCCUUUUUUCUUUUGUUCAUGCUCACUGGUAGAUCAAGUGGUGUCCUGCUCCGGGGUGUGUUGCAAGUGGAAAUUUGAUGUCUCCUGCAUCUGCUCACAUAGCUUUUGUUGGAAUUGUACUGAAAAAGCUCAUCGCUAUGUUGACUGCAAGACUGUGGCAAAAUGGAUUUUGAAGAAUAGUGCAGAGUCCGAAAACAUGGACCGGUAAAGGAUAUGGUUCACACCUACAAGAUGAAUCUUUUAUUCUCGAUUUAUAUUCAUUGAUCUAAAAUUUGAAUCAAGUGCUACAACUGUUUUACUAAGGUUUGACAUAUGUUAUUCAUAUAAGUUAUGUAGAGAAAUAAAAAAGGUUCUAAACGAAACAUUUUUCCUGGUACCCAAACACUAAUUGAUAUUUUUUAAAGAGUAAAUGUUAACAUUAUUUUAAUUUGAUUUUA